GAUGAACGCUGGCGGCGUGCCUAAUACAUGCAAGUCGAGCGAACAGACGAGGAGCUUGCUCCUCUGACGUUAGCGGCGGACGGGUGAGUAACACGUGGAUAACCUACCUAUAAGACUGGGAUAACUUCGGGAAACCGGAGCUAAUACCGGAUAAUAUAUUGAACCGCAUGGUUCAAUAGUGAAAGACGGUUUUGCUGUCACUUAUAGAUGGAUCCGCGCCGCAUUAGCUAGUUGGUAAGGUAACGGCUUACCAAGGCAACGAUGCGUAGCCGACCUGAGAGGGUGAUCGGCCACACUGGAACUGAGACACGGUCCAGACUCCUACGGGAGGCAGCAGUAGGGAAUCUUCCGCAAUGGGCGAAAGCCUGACGGAGCCACGCCGCGUGAGUGAUGAAGGUCUUCGGAUCGUAAAACUCUGUUAUUAGGGAAGAACAAAUGUGUAAGUAACUAUGCACGUCUUGACGGUACCUAAUCAGAAAGCCCCGGCUAACUACGUG
rnacentral:rRNA from 1 species